UGUGAAGGAUGAAGGCCGUCGGNGUAAGUAAACUUCUUUUAUUACGGGAAGAAACCUCAAGAUGCGUCUUGCGGCUGACAGUACUUAAUGAAUAAGGAUCGGCUAACUUCGUGCCAGCAGCCGCGGUAAGACGAAGGAUCCAAGCGUCGUCCGGAUUUACCUGGGUUUAAACGGGUGCGUAGGCGGAAAAUCUAAGUCAGCGGUGAAAGCCCGCAGCUCAACUGUGGAACUGCCAUUGAAACUGGUCCUCUUGACAUAUAGCUGAGGCAGAUGGAACUAUACAUGUAGCGGUGAAAUGCUUACAUAUGUUAUAGAACACCGAUUGCGAAGGCAGUCUGCCAAACUAUCAUUGACGACUGAGGCACGAACAGC
rnacentral:rRNA from 1 species